rnacentral:lncRNA from 1 species
UUACCUUUUUGUCUUAGAAUCAAUACUGUGUAUUGGCUCCAAGGCAGAAGAGUGGUAAGGGCUAGGCAAUGGGGGUCAAGUGACUUGCCCAGGGUCACACAGCUGGGAAGUGUCUGGGGUCAUAUUUGAACCUAGGACCUCCUGUCUCUAGGGCUGACUCUCAAUCCACUGAGCUACCCAGCUGCCCCUUGAUUGAUUUUUAAAAUGCUUUAUUACUAAGUUGUUUAAGCCAUAAUCAAGGGAAUGAAAUAAGGAUGAAAUCUUAUAAACACCAUAUAAGGUCCUUUUAGAAUUUCAUUAAGAUCAAGUCCUUAUAGAUUUGUCUUACCUUGAAUUCUGCCUUAAAAUGAAUAAUAGCUAUUCAACAAAUAUUUGUAUUGUAAAUUGAUUGCUUUUGAGGUUCUAGCAAAUUUAUGUAACUCAGGGAAACACAAUAUCUGAGAGUAUUUAGCAAGCUCUUCAGAUGCAGUGGGGUUUUUUGAAGCCUACUAGCUAGCUUCCUUAAAAAUGUCUUAAAGGGGGGCAGCUGGGUAGCUCAGUGGAUUGAGAGCCAGCCCUAGAGAUUGGAGGUCCUAGGUUCAAAUCUGACCCCAGACACUUCCCAGUUGUGUGACCCUGGGCAAGUCACUUGACCCCCAUUGCCUCGCCCUUACCACUCUUCUGCCUUGGAGCCAAUACACAGUAUUGACUCCAAGACAGAAGGUAAGGGUUUAAAAAAAAUGUCUUAAAGGGGGGAAAAUUAUUAAUUUACUAUAUACAGAAAUAAUUUCAGGUAUUCAUACUCUUAAAGUAUGUUUUCAAAGUGUGUGUUAUGUUAGGAGUUAAAUGCUAAAUUCUGAAACUGCAAAGUGAAAAAUGUCUUUGAAAACUACAAAAUUUACUUAUAGCAUCCAUCAUGCUCAACUAAUGCUUUAAAAAAUAUUUUCCAUAGAAUUUCUUUGUAAACUUGUUUUUUCAAACAAAGAACUAAUAAUUAAAAUUAAUUUAUUCUUUAAAAAAAUGCUAUUCAGUGUUAAAUAAAGGCAUAGCUGGUGUGCUUAGCCA